CCGUCCCUGCUGUUACCCGGAGGAGCCGCCCGAGCACGCCUGGCCAGACUUCCCGGAGGAGCUGCCGGACCUGCCACCAAGCACUGGUCCUGAGGAGCCUAUGCUGAUUGACUGGCCUGGAGCUGGUGCCACGGGUGAGCAAAUAGACAGGGCCUUUUGUCCAAAGCACUCCCGCCCCAGCCUUCUGGAAGAGGUGGAAAGAAUGGGGCCCCUAACGGGGGCAAGAUGACUGAGCGGUGACCUCUGGUGAGCAAAAUGAAAUGGCCAC